UUUCUAUCUUUCAGAAAAAAAAAAUCUAUUUUCUAGGAGUUUUUUUUCCCACCUCACUCUCACGUUCUUCUAUUUUCGGUGCCCGAUUUAGCUAUUUCUGGUGUAGCGGCACGCGAGUCUUUCAUUCAGUGUUCUCCAUCUUCAAACUUCGAUUGCUUCGACUCGUCUUCGCCGCCCGAUUUAGCUAUUUCCGGUGAGAAGAAAGUUUUUUCGAAUAGGGCUUUGCUUGCUUCGGAUUGCUUCGAAUUUUGAAGUUUGUCUGAUAGGACAGCGUCUUUCCCUACGCACAUUGUCAACGACAAGCCAAGCACAAUCUAGAAAUCUUCUUGGGCAUUGGAAUAGCAGAUCCACCAAUGUCUUCCUGCCGUUGGGUUCUCCCAGCUAAAAUGAGAGUGAAUAAUUCAGGGUAGGAAAAUAUAUAUUACCCUUUGAAGCUUUCUUAUCUAAGAGUGGGCUUCCUGAAGACAGAACUCCAACUCCAGUACCCUCUUCUUCAUUUCCAAAUCAACUAUUCUCUGGUAUUUCUCCAACUGUAAACGGGUAAAAUAUGAAGCAUCUAUUUUGAUAAAUAACAAGAGAUAAAGUUUUUUUGAUAGAAAAGGAAAGCUAAAAAGAGAGCUGUUUAAGAGAGAGUACAAAAAAAGAGGGGGGGUGUUCAGGGUAAUUACUUGUGACUCCAAUAGUUUUUAUUUUCCAAUAAGUGCAAGUAAGCUUGAUCUCAUCUCUCAAUUUGGCUACCUCUUCAUCCUUUGCAAUUGACCCCUAGAUGCCAACUCAGAUACAUCAGAAUAGAGAGUUAUCAACUUAUUUUUGUUUUUGUUGAUAGGUAGUUACCCACUUUAUUACUUUUUCUCUUAAAAUAAGGAAAAAAAUGAUCGAAAUCCUUUGUGGCUGUAAUCCCUGGUGAAGGCUAGCGAAGGGUAUGUCUAAUUUCGACAUGUGGAAUCGUCCAUGUGUAUGGUGGAUAUUGGGUUUGCCGGUCUGAAAUCUGACUUUUAAAAUGAAUCGGUUCAUUUCAUAGACCAAAUAUGUGUAGGGUGGUGAGUCCCAAAUAGGGCCCCAAAUAAGGACUUCCAAGAUUCUAUAACUCCCUUUUUUUCCUUUUUUUUUUUGUUGUUGGUGUAACAUUCUCACCUUUCCUAAUUUUCUUAAACUUUUUGUCCAGGUUGUUGAUAUAUUUCCUGUUGUUUUUUGAAGUUGGUAUGGAUUUCUUAAUUACUUUUUUGUUUGAAUUCCAUAUAUAGGGUAUAUAACCUUAAACAUGUCCCCCAUUGUGCAUAGUGUUUACUUCCAAUGGAUUUGCUUUUUAAAAUUUAGACUUGCUCAAUGAAUUAUAACUCAAUUGCCUUUCCUUUAUUAGAUCACUAUGCCACCAAAAUAUAUAGCAACUAACAGUCAAUGUUAAAGAUACAAUGCAAAUAAAAGGACUAUUAGAGGAAGCCUGCAUACAAAUAAAAGAAACAAAAAUCAGACAUGGCUACUGAAAGUCCAACUUACUGAAUCAAGUUCUACAACUUCAAAUUCUGAAAAUUUUGAAAAUCAAACAUCUGGUAUGAAAGGUUAGUAUUGGAAUAAUAAUCUUUUAAAAAUUAAUAAGAUUAAUUUGAUUUUUCUUUAUUUCUUAUAUUUUAUUUUUUGGAUACAGGAUUAUUUGAACCACAAAAUUCUGAAGUACAUGUACUGAAAAAAGUACCUCCAUGUACCCAUUAUGGAGGGAAGUAAUUUGAAUAUGAACCACCUUCAUUUUGUUGCUGUAAUGGAAAUGUUGUUUUGGCAUCUACAACAAUUCCAGAUGAAUUAUAUUCUUUA